AGAUGCCUUAAAUAUGUUGUUCUGCUACAUCCGAACCUUCCCAAUACUCCCAAUAUCAUAUCCGCCAGAUAUAAAACUGUUGUGCAGGGCGGGCCUACUUCUCCGUCGGUCGUAUAUAAUAGAAGUCUUUUCAACUAAUCUUAUAGUCGAUCAUCAUCUAUCUCCCAUUUAUCCUACAAAUGACAGUCUACUACACAACCAGCUGAGGCAUGACCUUCUUCCCCUCACGGACCCAUAACCUGAUAAAAGGCUGUUGUUUACUACUUCUAUGGGAAUCUGUUGAAUGGUCUAUCAUCGUAACAUUCAUCUCUUAUUGGUUGCUGUAUGUCCUUCUCGCUUAUUUUACUUGUCCUAAAAUCCGGUUUCUGCCGAGCCAAGAAUUUACUCUCCAUUCUAUUAAUGGUAAGAGACACGCGCACGGACUGUCGCCUACGGCAGGCGGACUCUGCCGAUUCUACAACGACGUGCGUUUUUAAGACAUUCCAGAGACAUGACCAGUCGGAAGAAGAAGUUGUGCACCUCCCAACGGUUUCUAAACACAACUUCUGGAUAAGAAACACAAACAGGCUUCAGGAAAAAAGGCACAAAGGAGUUUUUAAUGCUAAAACCCCCCCUGAAUAUUAUUGGGUGGACCUAUCAGAGGAAGAUGAGUUCUCCUGCGACGACUCGGAAUGUCCUUGCCGGGAAAGAAAACCAUUAUCAGUGGCGUGUUCUAAUAAUUUUCUCGAAAGAAAAGGAUACGUCCAUGCUAUUUCUUGCCUUCUCCCCGACGAUCAUAUCGUUCCUGCGCAGCCUUUCAUGCCGGGCAUAAUACGCCCAACUCAUCCUGAGCGCGUUAGAGUUCGGUUUGUUCAAUUCAGUGACAAUUUUCCAACCGCGAAUUCAUCAUCAAAUCUUACUACAAACGAAAGUGAUGCUUCAGCAUUUAACUUUCCCACUUUUUGUCGCCCAAGGCGCCAAAGGACGAGAAGCUCAAAGACAACACAGGACGGACAAUCGGAAUUUAGUCACAGGUAUUCCUCUCACGCAGGGUCCUUUGGAGAAAAGCUCAGCAAUUGUUUCCGGCCCAAUCGUCUGUCUGUUCAACAAUCAUCAUCCUCGUGGAUUUUUUCCUCCAAGUUUUUCAGCGGUAGUACUUCAAAGACUCUACUAUCCCCUCCAAAUUCCGUUAAGAACUCUCAUGACUUCAUGAGGAUGCCUUGCCGUCUAGCCCGUAAAGAAGGUGUCCACAAUCACAAAACAGCGAGGCCAGUUUCGUUCAGACAAGAAGCAAAAUGUCAUGAGGAGAGGCGAGAAAGGUCAAUACGCAUUAUUUUCUGGAACAUGGCCUCUACAUUCGGCAUAUCGCCACCCAAAGAUAAACCUCCUAGUGCACGUAAGAGGAUCGCUCAAGCAUUUCAAAAUCUCAAGGAAGAUUGCGGCUUAAGUUAUUCAGAGAGCAGCAGGACUCGGCGUAUAAAGGGUAAAUCCACUUAUUAAAGGUAAUACUCGGCAAAUCUGCUAUACGAACACGUAAGACCCGACCAAGAUGGGCUUGUUUACUCCUCGGCUGGAAAUUUUAAGCAGUCUAACUUUAUGUAUACAUACUCCAAAUG
rnacentral:sRNA from 1 species